rnacentral:lncRNA from 10 species
AGUACAGAUGACUCCCCAGGUGAGACGGCAUUUGAUUGAGAGCUUAAAACAAGAGUUCCACAGAUGAGGAGAAGAAAGAAGCUUUCACUCCAGGCAGGAGGAACAGUGUGAGGGUGAAUACAGAGUAUGGCCCUGAGCAAGAAAGGGUAACAAACCAGCCAACAAAUGGGAGGUUUUUCCUGAGUGCAUGAUGAGAAAGGCAGGUGCUACUGGAAAUCACUGGGUUACUGGGACUAAGAACAUUGGAACUGCCAGGAAAGCUGCAGAACAGAGGUCUGAAAACAUAAGAGAAGCCAGGAAAAUGCAAGUCCUUCCUCCUGACCCUAGAAAAUCUCUGCUGCCAAGGCUGGGACUCUGCUGCCAACUUCAGGCCUGGGAAAACCAAGACUCCAGGAGCUCUACCUCUAGGAUUCUUCCAAACAUCUCACCAUGUCCUCUGAUACCUCUGUAGUCAUCUGCCACAACCUACUUCUGAAUAAAUCCUACAUUCCACCUUUCUG